UAACUAACUAACUACUGUAGCUCCUUAGAGCUGACCAAACCCUCAUGUUGAGAGGUAACUAACUAACUACUGUAGCUCCUUACAGGUGACCAAACCCUCAUGUUGAGAGGGAACUAACUAACUAACUACUGUAGCUCCUUAGAGCUGACCAAACCCUCAUGUUGAGAGGUAACUAACUAACUACUGUAGCUCCUUAGAGCUGACCAAACCCUCAUGUUGAGAGGUAACUAACUAACUACUGUAGCUCCUUAGAGCUGACCAAACCCUCAUGUUGAGAGGUAACUAACUAACUACUGUAGCUCCUUAGAGCUGACCAAACCCUCAUGUUGAGAGGUAACUAACUAACUACUGUAGCUCCUUAGAGCUGACCAAACCCUCAUGUUGAGAGGUAACUAACUAACUAACUAACUACUGUAGCUCCUUAGAGCUGACCAAACCCUCAUGUUGAGAGGUAACUAACUAACUACUGUAGCUCCUUAGAAGUGACCAAACCCUCAUGUUGAGAGGUAACUAACUAACUACUGUAGCUCCUUAGAGCUGACCAAACCCUCAUGUUGAGAGGUAACUAACUAACUACUGUAGCUCCUUAGAGCUGACCAAACCCUCAUGUUGAGAGGUAACUAACUAACUAACUAACUAACUAACUAACUAACUAACUAACUAACUAACUACUGUAGCUCCUUAGAGCUGACCAAACCCUCAUGUUGAGAGGUAACUAACUAACUACUGUAGCUCCUUAGAGCUGACCAAACCCUCAUGUUGAGAGGUAACUAACUAACUACUGUAGCUCCUUAGAGCUGACCAAACCCU